AGUUUUAUUUUUAUAGUCACAAAAUGAACAAGAUGUCUGUGGCAACCCUCAGGCCAUUGAUGCCUUCUCUCUUAUGUAUCACAUCACACAUUUGGACUUUGACUGAACUCUCACAUUUCAGAUGCUCAAUCUUGAGGUAUAGUAAAAGGGAGCAUGAACUUGAGAAAAUGCACUUUCAACACAAAGCAGUAAUAAUAUAAGGUCAAAUCAGAUUCUGCCUUGGAGAUAGAAAACUCUGAAGCAAGUUUUGUUUAUUCCAGAAUGUCAUAUAGUUGGUAUAAGGU